rnacentral:lncRNA from 1 species
CGAAGUUUAUUUCAAUACGAUCUAGUCGCGGGACGUUUUUCAUAGGUUACGCUUAGACUGUGAUCUGGUUGUUUCCACGUUGACGACUUGGGAUAUGUCGGUUCCGAGGAAAUUGCCAGAAAUGAAUCGGUUUUAAGACGACGUUCAUGUCUCUAACUUUUUCUCUUUUUAGGAAGCGAGCUUGAUAUGCGUGGCGAUCGUUUCUCGAUUUUCGGAGAGUUUAGAUCGGUUUGCAAGAUCUGGAUGACCAAUUAUGGAACAAUAUAUCGAGACAGGAAAAAAUCACUUAAAACUUAGUUCGCUAGACUAUCCACCUAGGUUUUACGUUCCCUGAAGUUCUAUGGCAGCGUCAAAGUAAUUUCCUGCGAAAAUUCCAAGUCUGAUUUCAAAAAUUUCAAGUUGGAAAUACCUUAGUUGUCCCUUCUCAGUUUUGCGUGUUCAUUUCUGUUUCCUAUUCUCGUGUAUGUUCGCCAUUUCCGAUAUUGGUGUUUAUCCUUUGAAACUUGACAUUUAUCUUCCGAACUUGACUGUUAUCUUCUCCUUAGAUAAGACGUCGAUUUUUGUAAAAAGGUCCAAUGUAAUCGUAUAGUUAAGGCGGCUAAGGUGUUAAGUUAACCAUUGCCGUUUUAUACGAUUAAUCUGAAUCCAUGCGAGAAAAUAGGUCUUUGCGGUUUUUUUUUUUUUUAUAUCGUAAAGUCUCAAUGGUAACUUCAAUCGAGGCGAAACAAGAGACGUUUCGAUCGAGAUUCGAAAGUGAACGCAAAGAUGGAGGUAGGGUGAGCAGAAACAAGCCAAGGAGUUUAAGAUGAGGUUUACUUGUUUUUGUCGUAAAAUCUCAACGGAAACUCCGAUUGAGACGAAACAAAAAGCGUUUCGAUGAGAAUUCAAAGGAGAACGCAAAGGAGGACCCCUUUGAGGCCUGACAGGUCGCUAUAGCGAGUGAGGAUGUCA